rnacentral:rRNA from 1 species
UACGUAGGGAGCAAGCGUUGUCCGGAAUCAUUGGGCGUAAAGAGCGUGUAGGCGGCUCGGUAAGUCCGCUGUGAAAGUCCAGGGCUCAACCCUGGAAUGCCGGUGGAAACUGUCGAGCUAGAGUCCGGAAGAGGCGAGUGGAAUUCCUGGUGUAGCGGUGAAAUGCGCAGAUAUCGUCUGGAACGCCGAAGGUGAAAACAGCUCGCUGGGAUUGUGCUGACGCUGAGACACGAAAGCCAGGGGAGCGAACGGG